rnacentral:rRNA from 1 species
UACGAAGGGUGCAAGCGUUAAUCGGAAUUACUGGGCGUAAAGGGUGCGUAGGCGGUUCGUUAAGUCUGUCGUGAAAUCCCCGGGCUCAACCUGGGAAUGGCGAUGGAUACUGGCGAGCUAGAGUGUGUCAGAGGAUGGUGGAAUUCCCGGUGUAGCGGUGAAAUGCGUAGAGAUCGGGAAGAACACCCGUGGCGAAGGCGGCUCUCUGGGACGGUACUGACGCUGAGACGCGAAAGCGUGGGGAGCGAACAGG